rnacentral:rRNA from 1 species
UACGUAGGGCGCAAGCGUUGUCCGGAAUUAUUGGGCGUAAAGAGCUCGUAGGCGGCUUGUCACGUCGGCUGUGAAAGCCCGAGGCUUAACCUCGGGUCUGCAUUCGAUACGGGCAGACUAGAGGUAGGUAGGGGAGAAUGGAAUUCCCGGUGUAGCGGUGAAAUGCGCAGAUAUCGGGAGGAACACCGGUGGCGAAGGCGGCUCGCUGGGACGUUACUGACACUGAGGCGCGAAAGCGUGGGGAGCGAACAGG